ensembl:lncRNA
GCCGCCUUCAGCCGGCCUCUGCCCGGGCGCUCGUCCCUCGGCGGGGGCUGCUUCAAAGGACGGCUUACACGUUAGCACAGGCUUGUCGGGGACCGAGGGUGACGCCGGGGGGCCAGCUCCUCUUAACCCCCAAGAAGGUGACGUGACGUAGGUUUUGCAGAAAGGUGCCUGAGCGGACCUGUCCUUGGCCUUGACGCCCCGGGAACUGACCCCCUAGAAGGGGCCGAGCUGACGCACGUCGGCGCUCCCGGGCGCUGCCUGUGCCCAGCCUCCUGUCCUGCCCGCAGCGCCUUCUCACCCUGGGCCGUACCCACUCUGGUCCUGCCCAGAGUCCCACUUGGUUCCCGGGGUUGCAGGGUCCAGGGCUCACUGGCGGACACACGAGAUUCUCAUCACACCGAAUACACGGAAGCCCAGCUUUUUGGGGUGUCUCCCACUCAGUCCUGAGGUGGUGCCACAUGACGGGCGGCGGGGGGCACGUGGGGCAGGGUUCCUGGCGGGCGGCUCGUGCAGCACAAGCCAGCUCCCUGGACGCUGUGUUCCCGAUGCGACCGUGACAGUGGGGAAGCCGCCUUCGUGACGACGACGAGCCUCCGGUCAGUCCCGGGCGGAAGCCUGCGUGGGGCCCAGCGUGAGCAUAGGGUCCCGUGACCCCACACCGAGAGCUUUGGGGGGAUGGGAGCAUGAAGUGCCGCUUCGUCCCCGCCUGAGCCCUCACCCCACCCUCGCCCGACCCCAUCCCGGGCGCAGCCGGUCAGACCUGCCAGGCAUGGGGCUGAGGGCAGCAGGGUGAUGAGGCAGGGACGGCGGGGUCCGGGCAGAGGCCCCCCAUUGCAGUGUGGCGGGGCUGCCAGGGUGACACGGGGACAAGGAGGGCUGGGCUGGGCUGGGAGGGCGCACUCGCCUCAUCUGUGAGUGAAGGGCACUGACACCCCCCCCGCCCCCGCCCCGACACACGCGGUCGGUCCCCAGCCGAGUGGGCCCGGCCCGGCCACCCGCUUUCCUGCGGCUGACACUUGCUGACGGGCAGCACAAAGCCGCGGAGUCCGGCCAGGAUCAAGGGCAGGUGUGUCUCAUGCAAAUAAGAUAGUGAGGCCUUGGGAGACGUCCGCCCACAGGGAGUUUCACCGUUAGUUUUAAAGGCAGUUUCUCCAGGGCUUCUAAGCCUACCUCGCCUGUCUGAGGCAGUGUGAGUGUGUUUUAACUUUCCAGCUCCUCUCUCUGACGUUCAUACCUACCUGUGUUCCGUACACUCGCGUGUCAGCCAUGUACCUUGACCCCGGCGGCUUACCUGCCUGAGCCGCACUCCCCAGCGCAGGGGUCUGUGUGUCCCGGGCUCGUGGUGCCUGGGUGUGUGCUGUGUGCGUGCCUGAGCGUUAGGAAGGUGGGCCGGGGGUGGGCCAGCCCUUGGCAGCAGCCAUCGGGUUGAGCACGUGCUGGAGCGUCCUCAGCCCCACGCCAGCCCCGCAGGAGGGAGCAGCUGAGGUCGGUGCCCAGUAAGUGUCGCUCACGCCAGGGUCCGUGCUGGCCCCACCUCUGUUCCAAGGCCUGGUGGGCACAGGACUCCCCCCAAGGGGGUGUGAGGAGCAGUUCUGGGGCAGAGGAGGGACGCCUUUGGGCCCGGGUCCCUCGCCUCCUGCACACAGGAGCCCAGCAGGUUUCGACAGUUCACGCUUGAGAAGCAGGUAGGGAUGCGAGGGAUUUAGGGAAGCCUGUGAGGCCUGCCCGUGGGCCACGGUGAGCACGCGGGGGGCCUGGUGUCCCCGCAGAGCCCUCGGCACACACCUGGGUCCCUGGGCAGCGUUAGAGCCUAUCCAGAGCCUGUUCCACCUCGGGGACACCUUUGCCCUGGCCUUUUUUUUUUUUGCUUUUUAGGGCCACACUUGAGGCAUAGGGAGGUUUUUGGGCUAGGGGUCUAAUCAGAGCUGUAGCUGCUGGCCUUAUGCCACAGUCGCAUCUGUGCCUCACACCACAGUUCAUGGCAUCACCCAAUCCUUCACCCACUGAGCAAGGCCAGGGAUCGAACCCGCAACCUGAUGGUUCCUAGUCGGAUUCUCUUCCGCUGCGCCACGGCAGGAACCCCGGUCCUGGCAUGUCUUCAUGGCUUGUCCCCUGAAAUGCCAGGGUGUUGUCACUUCAGAGGACCUCUGACCGGCCUUUCCACUUGGGGUGGCAGCUCAGCACUCCUGACACUGACAGUCUGCUCACUGGGGACGCAGCGUCUCAGCUGCUCUGUGCAUCUCAGGGCCUUCGUCAGGGGACCAGUCAGGUGGGACGCCGGGGCCAGGCCAGGGCAGCUGUGCCCCUCGUGGGUCAGGAGGGCUCUGCCCUCCGCCUGGAACGCCCGAGGGACCUCGGGGGCCUGGUGGGCCACAAGCCACCCAGGAAAGGGGAGGACCCUGCCGCCCUCGGGGUCGCGGUGGAAGGGUGGCUGGACCUGCAGUGUCGUCUUCUGUACACGCUUCCCACCGCUUCCUAAGCUAGCUGAGCGGGUGGGUGACUUGCAGUGUCGUCGGGGAAGCGGGUCCUCGGUUUUGGUGUGCGUGUGCGAGGGUGCGCGUGCACGUCAGAGCCCUGCUCAGACGCUGGAACCGAGUCACACGGUGUGGGAUGGAAUGUGCUGCUCCUUUGAAAUCAAUAAAGACAUUUCGUGGAAA